ACGGAAAAAGGAGAAUUCUUAGUUGGCUGGUGCAUUCUGCCGUUGUCUGUUAAAUAAUAAAAUCAAAACAAUUUGCUGGAGUUUCUUAAAGUUUUGUGGUGCCUUAAGUACUUUUCUUAGCGUAUAGUUCUGUGAAAUUUUUUUUUCAUUUCAUUUUUUUUUUUUUGAGUAUCUUUGUAGUUUUACCAAAAGAAUAGUAAUUUUUCUUAUUAUAUAGAUUGUAUGAUUUUCUUACGCCUAUUAUCGGCCUCCAUUUGUAUAUACACAUUUAAUUAGGCAAUCGUAGGAGCACAGAGGGCGUCGAAAUGACGUGCCACAUCCUGAUGCACACAGACAACCUGAAGAGCAAUAAUAACAUCUAAUUUCUUUACAUGAAAAGGAAAGGCAACACAGAUUAAGUGUUGGUUAAUGUGUACUAAGACUUGUACUAAAGUGUACGAGAAGCAAGCAGGAAAUUCCUAUUCAGUUUAUUUUGAAAAUCAAUCGCGUCAUUCGCUUCCGAAGUGGAAAACAACUUUAAUAUGCACAGCACCUUUGACGUUAUUCACCAUCGUUGUUGACACACAGAACUUCUUUCUACUAGAAACUCGAGAUGGUGUUGAAAACUCUUCUAAACCGUUUGGCGUAGCUAUUCAUAAAACAACAAAGCCUUUACAUUAUCUUUUCCCAGUUUCUUAUGGCAACGGUAUUGUUUUCUAUUGUAGCGCUUCAUCGUUGAAACUGAAUCACGCGUGAUUGCAAAGAUUUCUAAAGGGACCCUAUUUAGUGCGUGAAUGAAAACUAUAACACCAGGUAUUAACAUCAAUAGCAAGUGCUUCAUCACAAAACGAAACUCUAGAAAAACAAAAUUCCAACUAGUUGGAAUGACUCGACGGCAUCCGGAAUGAAUCACAGGUAGCUUUGGAACAACAUGUUGGCGGAUAGUUUUGACUAGUGGACACACGCAAUUGCGCUACUGAUGCUCAUUAUUCAUAGCCAUUUCGUGCCAUUGGAUAACUACACCAUCGUCAAUAAUGACGAAAUCGAAACAAAAAAAAGGCGGUGAAAAAUGAUCAUUCCGCAACGUUUAUGAAUGACGAAGAAAAAGAAGAAAUAUAAAUACUUCUGUAUACGCGAUACAUGGGUUUGCAACGAUGCUGGAAGCCUCACAGUUCUUCACGCGCUUCAUUCGCUCGCAUAACAAUGGUUAGUGGGAUGGGGAAGAUAAUUAUGCGUUUCUUCGAUAUUUGAAAAUGCAUACGACACGAGCGAUUAGAGGUAGUGUAGGAAUAGUGGUUGUUAUGUCAGAAUGAACAGGUGGACCCUCUGGCCUGAAAAGACGAAUCAGGAUGAUAGAAAACCUUAUAAAACGAGGUCAAAUCGAAGGUAGAGGUUAGUCGAGUGAACAUCUCUGACACAGUAUAGUACUAGCAGUCUUUCAAAUACCAAUAGCUGAUUUAAUAUAGUGUCUUCCAGUUCCAACCUGCAAUCAUGGGUAAUGUACACACUUCAACUUGUUUAAUGAUUUUAGUUAAUGUGAUGAUGCAAUUGUUGAUUAAAUUGAUGUUUGAACGAGGUGAAAUGAUUCUUUAUUGUCGUUUUAAGCAUUUCAAUGUCAUAAUGGAAUUAUGAAAAUUAAUGUUUUUUUUUUUUUCGUCAGGUUAUGAUGGCAUUAUGCUGCUACUAGCUGUCGUCUUCUGAUGACUGGAUCGACUUUAAGUGUGCCGAUGGGUUCAUCUUGUGGAUACGGUAUCUAUUCAUACCAGACAACCACUGCUGUGUCGUAUUACGCUACGAAGGCGGCCGAGCACUACACCACGACAUAUGUGGCCCGUACUUCCUACACCGAUGCGCCCAAGUAUUACAGCACCAAGGCAUCUGAAUACUACACCACUACGUAUGCAGCUCCGACUUACUAUACGGAGGCCUUGAAAUACUACUCCGCACCGAGCUAUUACACAGAAGCGCCAGUGUAUUACACAACAACAUAUGCCACUCCAAGUUACUACACCGUAGCUCCCACCUACUAUACGCCUCUGACUAUUACACGACAAUCUACGCUUCCCCGCCUACCACGUACGCUGUCCCAGCUUACUAUACUGAGGUUCGCAUGUAUUACAAGACGGAGGGUCCACGAUACUACACGACGAAGGCUCCCGAGUACUACACCACCAUGUACGCGGCACCAAGUUAUUACACUGAAGCUCCAACAUACUACACAACAACAUCUGCCACUCCUAGCUACUACAGCGAGCCACCAAAGCACUAUUUCCAAAUACUACACUACCACUUACGCCGCUUAUAUGUCAGUAAUGUGAAUGUGCGAAGGAAUCUAAAGAUUUCCGAAGGAAUACCGAAAUCGCGAGUUCAAUCCUCACCUGGAGCGUUGGGUUUUUAUUUCUAUCUCUUUACGAGGAUUGUAGCUGCCUGCGAUCACCUGAUUGAACUGUGUUACUUUGGUAAAACUAGCAGACAAAAUGCUGGAAUACAUCUCCUGAAGUUGGAAGUUGGACAAAACUCUUGUGGAAAAUGGAUACAAAGCACUGACUGUUCAUUCAAUUAGCAAACGUAGUUUCAAUUACUUU